rnacentral:rRNA from 1 species
AUUGAACGCUGGCGGCAGGCCUAACACAUGCAAGUCGAGCGAUCGGCGGACGGGUGAGUAAUGUAAGGGGACUGCCCGUUAGAGGGGGGUCACUACUGGAAACGCUAGCGAAUACCGCAUACGAUCGGAGAACCCAUAUGGGAUUAGCUAGUAGGUGAGGUAAUGGAUAACCUCGGCGACGAUCCCUAGCUGGUCUGAGAGGAUGAUCAGCCACACUGGGACUGAGACACGGCCCAGCCUCCGUCGGAGGCAGCAGGGGGGAAUAUGGCACGAUGGGGGGAAGGCUGAGGCAGCCAUGCCGGUUGUAUGAAGAAGGCCCGAGGGUUGUAAAGUAAUUUCAGUCGGGAGGCGUAUCCGACAGAAGAAGCACCGGCUAACUCCGUGCCAGAGCCGCGGUAAUUC